GUCUAAGCUAGCUCAGUUGGUAGAGUGCAAGGCUCUUAACCUUGUGAUCGUGGUUUUGCCCACGCUGUGGGCG